rnacentral:rRNA from 1 species
GGAUUAGAUACCCUGGUAGUCCACGCCGUAAACGAUGGAUACUAGCUGUUCGGUGGCAACACUGAGUGGCUAAGCGAAAGUGAUAAGUAUCCCACCUGGGGAGUACGUUCGCAAGAAUGAAACUCAAAGGAAUUGACGGGGGCCCGCACAAGCGGUGGAGCAUGUGGUUUAAUUCGAUGAUACGCGAGGAACCUUACCAGGGCUUAAAUGUAGUCUGACAGGACUGGAAACAGUUUUUUCUUCGGACAGAUUACAAGGUGCUGCAUGGUUGUCGUCAGCUCGUGCCG